AGCUGAACAGAUACCAUCUAUGUUGGCUCCCAACCUCGAUACACAAAAUCUGCUAAUAUCUCGUGCAUCAUCCACCAUCUGGCCAGACUAAGACCAAACAGCGACCUGGGAAGCCGGGAGCAGCAGAGUGAUGCCUUUCUUUCAAUCCCCAAAGUCCGGGAUGGUUAAACACGAAAGCAGGGCCUACCUCCCACUGGCCAUCCACAGCCGGGAGACUCUCCGGAGGUACCAGGGUGUAUGACGACCUAGAUACUGAGGAAGACGACACCAUGACACUUAGCGACACCUUUCGCAACAAUGAGGUGCCGCACACAGAAGCUGCAGCCGGCCCCAGCUGCUGACCAGCCAGAUAUUGGAGUGCUGUUACAGCGACAAGCACCAUCCAAGAUGGCCACCACAGAGGCCUUACUCGCUCUGGUGCAACCGACACUACAAGCCCACUCACCGGCACCACGGGCAGAGGAUGAUCAAAGCACCAUGCUCCCAGCCCUUAGAGAAUCAGGGGUUAAUGCCUUUGCCACAAAGCAUGACCUCCAACAAUGGAUGCAGGAACUCCAGAAUUUGUUUGCCGUGGAUAUCGGCAACCUGAAGGCAGAUGCUCGACAAACUACUGAGUGAGUGAGCGCCAUGGAGGAGGACAUUCUAAAUCUAAACAGCGGAGUAUCGAACCUUACAGAUACACUGCAGACAUUGCAAACAGCCCACCAGACGCUAGCAGUACACCACCCGAGAGGAUCGCACGCGCCACAACCACAUUAAACUCAGAGGGGUACCAGCAGCGAUCACCCCAGCUGAACUGCCACACUUUCUUAUGGCCACCAUCCUGCCUCCUUCAGCUGCCUAGAAAAUAACUCUGGAGGGCAUAUAUCGCUUACCGGCAGGGCUCAACUCACCUUCCAAAGAAGCUCGAGAUGUUAUUCUGCGCUGUGCCACAUCGCAAGACAAAACAACCAUAAGGACGGCGGUGAGAGGCAAGACCCCCCUGACAUUUGAAAGUUCCCAACUGCUCUUCUUUCAGGACUUAACAAGGGCCACGCUGCACUGGCGGAGAUCAUUGCACCACCUUAUCGGCCGCCUGAGAACAGGCGAUGGGGAACGCCAAGGGUCCUAACGAUCACUCAUAAUGGGACUACCCACAGAGCCAUGUCGGAGGCAGGUAUACCCACAAUCCUUACUCUCUUGGGACUGCCCAUGACCAGGGUCACGAAAGGCCCAUCCCAGAUUGGAGAUCCAGCUACUACAAUAGCAUUUACACCUCAAACCUUGAGCACCGACUCGGAUCCCUCACUGAAACCGCACACAGGAUCAUCCACGCUGGUCAGGCCGGAUACAACCUCAUCAGUAUACUGUUUUGUAAUGACUUUCUCAUUUUUGUUUCUCAUUAUGUCAGUAUGCCUACAGCCCUACUUCACCCGGUCUUGGCAAGUGCCAUGACCGGACCUAAUGAUAGUUACACAGAGCCACGUUAGUAUGGAGGAACCCCCAACUCCCCCCCGCCGCCCCCUUGGUUACGGAUAUCUACAAUCCUAGUUUUUAGCACUCUGCUUUCUCUUUAAGACUAUAUAAGUCGACUGACUAGUACAAAGCCGGAUAUGAUAUGCCUAGUACAAACUUACCUGUGCUAUUAAUCCCAGUUACUUAUGAUAGGUUUUACCUAGUGCAACAGCCCAUGGCGGCUAAAAGUUUCAAAGGUGCACAAGGCCGCCCAUAAGGCUCUGAUUGCCCAUACUGGACAACCAAAUGCGGCCUUUGCACGCCCCAUGCACCCUAGGGUGGUGCGUGUCCACUGAGGCGGCUAACUGAUGCAACAGUAAAGUUUUAACUUGUUUAUCUCCUGUUAUUACCUUCUAUUUUAUUUUACUUUGAUUUAUUAUGCUACAACUGUUUAACAACUUAAGGACCAAACUUCUGGAAUAAAAGGGAAUAAUGGCAUGUCACACAUGUCAUGUGUCCUUAAGGGGUUAAACAUUGAGUCUCAACCUCAUUGGGUACAAUACUGUGUUGUCUAAACUCCAAAUGGGGCCAUAAGCCUAGGAGUAAGCUCUUGCACUGAUACCGGUACUUGAAACGUGACAUGAUUAAAAAAGUAAAAAUGAGUUCAGUUUAACUUGAGAAGUUAUGUGACUCGACUACCCUUGUACUCUGAUAUGAUACAUCUCUUCCGUGAUAUUUCUUCAUGCACCUUCAAAAUAAAGAAUAAUAAAAAAAAGAAAAUGAUAUUUCAAACAACAUAACCACUUUACAUUAUUAUAGCGGUUAUGAUGAUAAUACAUUUUCAAGUGGUUUGACAAAAAAAGGAGAAUCUGUGGCACCCACAGCCCGUCC